AACCCAAUGUGACCAUACCAAACUGUUGCCUCGGCGGGGUCACGCCCCGGGUGCGACACAGCCCCGGAACCAGGCGCCCGCCGGAGGGACCAACCAAACUCUUUUCUGUAGUCCCCUCGCGGACGUUAUUUCUUACAGCUCUGAGCAAAAAUUCAAAAUGAAUCAAAACUUUCAACAACGGAUCUCUUGGUUCUGGCAUCGAUGAAGAACGCAGCGAAAUGCGAUAAGUAAUGUGAAUUGCAGAAUUCAGUGAAUCAUCGAAUCUUUGAACGCACAUUGCGCCCGCCAGUAUUCUGGCGGGCAUGCCUGUCCGAGCGUCAUUUCAACCCUCGAGCCCCUCCGGGGGGUCGGCGUUGGGGACCUCGGGAGCCCCUAAGACGGGAUCCCGGCCCCGAAAUACAGUGGCGGUCUCGCCGCAGCCUCUCCUGCGCAGUAGUUUGCACAACUCGCACCGGGAGCGCGGCGCGUCCACGUCCGUAAAACACCCAACUUCUGAAAUGUUGACCUCGGAUCAGGUAGGAAUACCCGCUGAACUUAAGCAUAUCAAUAAGCGGAGGAA
rnacentral:rRNA from 1 species